rnacentral:piRNA from 1 species
GCUUCUUCUGGACUGAGGCCACCAGGUGU